CUCCUCUUCGUCUCAGCAAAAAGGUGACAGAGCCUUUUCUGUUGCUGGCCCUCAGCUGUGGAACCGACUGCCACCUGACAUCAGAAGUGCCCCUUCAAUUGUGAUAUUCAAAGCCAGGCUCAAAACUCACCUUUUUACAUUGGCCUUCCGGGCAUCUUAAUUGUCUUAUCCUGCUAUGUUUGUAAUUAAGUGUUUGUCUUUUGAUGUCGUUUUAGCCUAAAUCACUGAUUUGUAAGUGUAUUUUAUUUUAUUUUAUGACCCUGUGGCUAAUGCGCUAUGUACAGCACUUUGG